rnacentral:rRNA from 1 species
UGAGUAACCUGCCCUUCACUCUGGGAUAACUCCGGGAAACCGGAGCUAAUACCGGAUACGAACCACCCAGGCAUCUAGGUGGUUGGAAAGAACUUCGGUCAAGGAUGGGCUCGCGGCCUAUCAGCUUGUUGGUGAGGUAACGGCCCACCAAGGCGACGACGGGUAGCCGGCCUGAGAGGGUGAUCGGCCACAUUGGAACUGAGACACGGUCCAGACUCCUACGGGAGGCAG